rnacentral:rRNA from 1 species
CCAAUAGCGUAUAUUAAAGUUGUUGCAGUUAAAAAGCUCGUAGUUGAAUUUCGGGGCCAGUAGGUUGGUCGUGCCACUGGUAUGCACUGGCCUUACUGGUCCCUCCCUCUUGUAGCACCGUGAUGCCAUUAAUUUGGUGUUGCGGGGAAACAGGACUGUUACUUUGAAAAAAUUAGAGUGCUUAAAGCAGGCUCGCGCUUGAAUACAUUAGCAUGGAAUAACGGAAUAGGACGAUCGAACCUAUUUUGUUGGUUUCUAGGAUCGACGUAAUGAUUAAUAGGGAUAGUUGGGGGCAUUAGUAUUCAAUUGUCAGAGGUGAAAUUCUUGGAUUUAUUGAAGACUAACUACUGCGAAAGCAUUUGCCAAGGAUGUUUUCAUUAAUCAAGAACGAAAGUUAGGGGAUCGAAGACGAUCAGAUACCGUCGUAGUCUUAACCAUAAACUAUGCCGACUAGGGAUCGGAUGAAGUUAAUUUUUUAAUGACUCAUUCGGCGCCUUACG